AGUGAAGCCUGCAGAGAGUCCUCCUGGGGACAGAACAGUGCAUGGAGUCUCUCCACCCAGUCAUUCACUUCCUCCUCUACGUGCUCGCCUACUCCUGCGUCUACUCUUGUCUGUAUUUGUUGGUUUAUUUUAUUAGCAUCUUUACGGAGGAUUAGGCAACCCGCUGGACACAAGCCUCUUUGGGUACAGAAAACCCUACCCACUGCCCAUGGGUCUUCAAGACAUGCCUUGCAUCGACAAGGGCAGGACUGGCCUAGGUGGGGCUGUUUCUGCCUGUGCCCAUUCUCUCUGCCCUAUACCUGGUCACUUCUCCCUGGUGGACCUGUAGAAGGGCCCUUAUCAUCUGGAAUGGCACCCCAGCAGCCCUGCAGGGACCCAUCAACUCAGUUACCGCUCCUUCGCACCGAUGGAUAGGCCAGCACGCUUCACUGGCCGCUUCAGAGGCGUGAGGACGGCUACAGUCUCUCAUCUUCCUUUAGUCCAGCUCAGAACCCAGCGCUCUCCGGGAAGCACAGAAAUUGGAUCACUCUGUAAAGCCAAACGGAGAUGAAGGGCGUUUGGUCUCUGGGAAUGAAUAUGUAACGCCUCUGCUCUCCAAAGACUCCUUUUGUGUAACUCAGCUUUCAACAGUCCGACAUCCAAAGAAGGCAGACAUACCACCCUGACAACUUAAAUAAAAAUUUCAACUUUUUUUUUGUUGUUAAAUAU
rnacentral:lncRNA from 1 species